rnacentral:rRNA from 1 species
GAGGCGACCGCUGUGGGAGUCCGAUUAAGCCAUGCGAGUCGAGAGAAUAAGAUUCUCGGCAUACCGCUCAGUAACACGUGGAUAACUGCCCUGUGCUGGGGGAUAACCUCGCGAAAGUGAGAACAAUACCCCAUGGGUCACUAUGCCUGGAACGGUUAGUGGCUGAAAGCUCCGGCGGCACAGGAUGGGUCUGCGGCGUAUCAGGUCGUAGGGGGUGUAACGUACCUCCUAGCCUUCGACGCGUACGGGUUGUGAGAGCAAUUGCCCGGAGAUGGAUUCUGAGACACGAAUCCAGGCCCUACGGGGCGCAGCAGGCGCGAAAACUUGACAAUGCGAGAAAUCGUGAUCAGGGGACUCCAGUUGGCUGGAUCAAAAGUCCAGUCUGAACCGACUUUAAAUCGGUCGGGUAAUAGGGGCGGGAAAGACCGGUGCCAGCCGCCGCGGUAAUACCGGCGCCCCAAGUGGUCGUCACUAUUAUUGGGCCUAAAACGUCCGUAGCCGGUUUGGUAAAUCCGUGGGUAAAUCAGACAGCCCAACUGUCUGAAUUCUGCGGGGACUGCCAGACUUGAGACCGGGAGAGGUGCGGGGUACCUGCGGGGUAGCGGUAAAAUGCGAUCAUCCCGUAGAGACCACCUGUUGCGAAGGCGCCGCACUAGAACGGAUCUGACGGUCAGGGACGAAGCCUAGGGGCACGAACCGGAUUAGAUACCCGGGUAGUCCUAGGUGUAAACGCUGUGGACUUGGUGUCGGGGACCUUCUGAGGGUUUCCGGUGCCGGAGUGAAGAUGUUAAGUCCCCUGCCUGGGGAGUACGGUCGCAAGGCUGAAACUUAAAGGAAUUGGCGGGGGAGCACCGCAACGAGAGGAGCGUGCGGUUUAAU